rnacentral:lncRNA from 1 species
CAUCACUAACCUAUACUCUCUAUCAUACAAAUACCAUCAACACCCGUUUCAUACCUCGAACAAACUAUAUCACUUCCUAUUAAUCCAAUUGCAUGCAAAAAGGAAUUUCGCUAUACUUAUGCUCAACAAAUCACACUUACCAUCCUUCUUACUACUACACCUCCACAUCCACAUUUUCAGCCAACACAAGGAACAAAAUGAACUACAA